rnacentral:misc_RNA from 1 species
GAAAUGCGAUAAGUAAUGUGAAUUGCAGAAUUCAGUGAAUCAUCGAAUCUUUGAACGCACCUUGCGCCCUUUGGUAUUCCGAUGGGCAUGCCUGUUUGAGUGUCUCGAUAUCAUCAAUCCCGUCGGGUUUGCGCCCGCAUGGGGUUGGACCUGGGGGCCUGCUGCCUUUCGGCGGCUCCCCUUAAAUGCAUCGGUUUGGCCCGAUCAGCGUUGGCCCGCUCCCAAGGCGUUGUAUCAACCUCGCCUCCGUGGUCCGGAUCCGCCCUCGCCGUGCCGACCCCGACCUGCCCGUGGGGUGGCGGUCUGCUCAAUCUUGACAAAUCUGACCUCAAAUCAGGUAGGACUACCCGCUGAACUUAA